rnacentral:rRNA from 1 species
GAUUAGGUAGUUGGUUAGGUAACGGCUUACCAAGCCAUUGAUCGGUACGGGUUGUGAGAGCAAGAGCCCGGAGAUGGAACCUGAGACAAGGUUCCAGGCCCUACGGGGUGCAGCAGGCGCGAAACCUCCGCAAUGUGAGAAAUCGCGACGGGGGGAUCCCAAGUGCCAUUCUUAACGGGAUGGCUUUUCAUUAGUGUAAAGAGCUUUUGGAAUAAGGGCUGGGCAAGACCGGUGCCAGCCGCCGCGGUAACACCGGCAGCUCUAGUGGUAGCAGUUUUUAUUGGGCCUAAAGCGUCCGUAGCCGGUUUAAUAAGUCUCUGGUGAAAUCCUGUAGCUUAACUGUGGGAAUUGCUGGAGAUACUAUUAGACUUGAGACCGGGAGAGGUUAGAGGUACUCCCAGGGUAGAGGUGAAAUUCUGUAAUCCUGGGAGAACCGCCUGUUGCGAAGGCGUCUAACUGGAACGGUUCUGACGGUGAGGGACGAAAGUUAGGGGCGCGAACCGGAUUAGAUACCCGGGUAGUCCUAACUGUAAACGAUGCGGACUUGGUGUUGGGGUGGCUUUGAGCUGCUCCAGUGCCGAAGGGAAGCUGUUAAGUCCGCCGCCUGGGAAGUACGGUCGCAAGACUGAAACUUAA